rnacentral:rRNA from 1 species
CCCUUAGAUGUUCUGGGCCGCACGCGCGCUACACUGAUGCAUUCAACGAGCCUAUCCUUGACCGACAGGUCCGGGUAAUCUUUGAAUCUGCAUCGUGACGGGGAUAGAUUAUUGCAAUUAUUAAUCUUCAACGAGGAAUGCCUAGUAGGCGCAAGUCAUCAGCUCGCAUUGAUUACGUCCCUGCCCUUUGUACACACCGCCCGUCGCACCUACCGAUUGAAUGUUUCGGUGAAGAUUCCGGAUAGGACUUUUUUGAUUUAUUUCAAUUUUGUCUUAAAAGCUAUCUAAACCUCAACAUUUAGAGGAAGGUGAAGUCGUAACA